CCUACGGGUGGCAGCAGUGAGGAAUAUUGGUCAAUGGACGCAAGUCUGAACCAGCCAUGUCGCGUGAAGGAUGACUGCCCUACGAGUUGUAAACUUCUUUUAUACGAGAGUAAAGGGAGACACGUGUGCCUUUCUGAAAGUACUGUAUGAAUAAGGAUCGGCUAACUCCGUGCCAGCAGCCGCGGUAAUACGGAGGAUUCAAGCGUUAUCCGGAUUUAUUGGGUUUAAAGGGUGCGUAGGCGGGCGUUUAAGUCAGCGGUGAAAGUCCGUGGCUCAACCAUGGAAUUGCCGUUGAUACUGGUGGGCUAGAGUAUGUUUGCGGCAGGCGGAAUGCGUGGUGUAGCGGUGAAAUGCUUAGAGAUCACGCAGAACCCCGAUUGCGAAGGCAGCCUGCCAAGCCAUGUCUGACGUUGAGGCACGAAAGCGUGGGGAGCAAACAGGAUUAGAUACCCCAGUAGUC
rnacentral:rRNA from 1 species